GCAGUAGUCAUAUGCUUGUCUCAAAGAUUAAGCCAUGCAUGUGUCAGUACAGGCCGUCCUAAGGCUAAACCGCGAAUGGCUCAUUAAACCAGUCAUAAUCCACUAGAUGGAAUCCAAUUACUCGGAUAACCCUGGUAAUUCUAGAGCUAAUACGUGCGACAUGCCCUGACCGCAAGGGAAGGGUGCUUUUAUUAGUUUAAAACCACUCGGGCUUCGGUCCGCCAAUUCACGGGUGGUGACUCUGAAUAACUUUGUGCAGAGAGCACGGUCUCCGCACCGGCUCCGUGUCUUUCGAGUUUCUGCCUUAUCAUGCUGUGGAUUGUAGGUCAUGCGCCUACAAUGGCUGUAACGGGUGACGGGGAAUCAGGGUUCGAUUCCGGAGAGGGAGCCUGAGAAACGGCUACCACAUCCAAGGAAGGCAGCAGGCACGCAAAUUACCCAAUCCCAGCUCUGGGAGGUAGUGACGAAAAAUAAUGAUGCGGGACACAUCCGUGUCUGCGUAAUCAGAAUGAGUACACAUUAAAACUUUGUGCGACAACCAAUUGGAGGGCAAGUCUGGUGCCAGCAGCCGCGGUAAUUCCAGCUCCAAUAGCGUAUAUUAAAGUUGUUGCRGUUAAAAAGCUCGUAGUCCGAGCUCAGUUCCGGACUGGCCGGGGAGGUCACCUCACGGUUCCUUUCCUGCGCCAGGCUCCGAACCUAGGCCCCCGCCUGCGCGGGGGUCGCACGCCGGUGCUCGCCGGGGUGCUCUUGACCGAGUGUCCCGCGCGGCCGGCCAGUGCACCUUGAAUAAAGGAGAGUGCUCAAAGCAGGCUACUCUACUACUGUUAAGCCCGAAUGUUACCUGCAUGGAAUGCUGGAAGAUGAUCUCGGUUCCAUUUUAGUGGCUCUGGGAAUCCGAGUUAAUGAUAAACAGGGACUGUCGGGGGCAUUCGUACUACGACGCGAGAGGUGAAAUUCAGUGACCGUCGUAGGACGAACUACAGCGAAAGCAUUUGCCAAGAAUGUCUUCGUUGAUCAAGAACGAAAGUUAGAGGAUCGAAGGCGAUCAGAUACCGCCCUAGUUCUAACCCUAAACGAUGCUGACUAGCAAUUCGCCGUCGCUAUUCCCAUGGCGUGGCGAGACGCCCCCGGGAAACCUCAAGUUUUUGAGUUCCGGGGGUAGUAUGGUUGCAAAACUGAAACUUAAAGGAAUUGACGGAAGGGCACCACCAGGAGUGGAGCCUGCGGCUUAAUUUGACUCAACACGGGGAACCUCACCAGGCCCGGACACCAGAAGGAUUGACAGACUAAGAGCUCUUUCUCGAUUUGGUGGGUGGUGGUGCAUGGCCGUUCUUAGUUGGUGGAGUGAUUUGUCUGGUUAAUUCCGGUAACGAACGAGACUCUGGCCUACUAACUAGUCGACGGGGUCUACAGCCCGUCCGCGGGCGACGGCCCCGUUCGACAAUGUCUUCUUAGAGGGAUGAGCAGCGAGUAUAGCUGCAGGAGAUUGAGCAAUAACAGGUCUGUGAUGCCCUUAGAUGUCCUGGGCCGCACGCGCGCUACACUGAAUGGGUUAGCGGGUUCUCCUUCCCCGAGAGGGGCGGGAAAUCGCGUGAAAACCAUUCGUGAUAGGGAUUGGGGCUUGCAAUUGUUUCCCAUGAACGAGGAAUUCCCAGUAAGCGCGAGUCAUCAGCUCGCGCUGAUUAAGUCCCUGCCCUUUGUACACACCGCCCGUCGCUACUACCGAUUGAAUGAAUUAGUGAGGCCUUCGGACUGGCGGUCUCGGACCGGGCUCCGCGCGGCGCAAGCCGUGGCGGGCCCUCCCUGACGAGCCGGAAAGAUGUCCAAACUUGUUCAUUUAGAGGAAGUAAAAGUCGUAACAAGGUUUCCGUAGGUGACCUGGCCG
rnacentral:rRNA from 1 species